rnacentral:lncRNA from 1 species
GAGCCACGGCGGCAGCGGCGCAGCAGCGGCAGCAGGAGAACCGGGGGAAUCGCGCUGCUGGGGUAAAAGCUGGAGCGAGGCGAAAGCGUGUAACGAUUGCACACGCACACACACACACCACUCACACGCACUCGCCGCCCGCCCGCUCGCACAGCGCUGGAACACGCGCGCCCAGACACGCACACACGCACGCACACACACUCGCACACACGCAGAGGCACGGGAGGGAAAGAAGCCGAUGAAUAAUUUUGCUAUUUUUUAAAAUACUGGCCGCCAUCAUCAAGCAGCGAGCAGCAGCAGAAGCGUUGAAGGGAGAGGAGGCAUCGGGACAGGCCCCUCUUAGGAGAGGAUUUAUAUCUAGGUAAGUGUUGGAGAUUUAAACCUACCCUUUGCGCCAUCAGUCUGCGCUCCAAUAAACUCCUGGAUGUGUCGUAUAUUUAAUAUCCCAGUCCGGAUAAGAAAGUGAUCUAGGCUGAAGAUUCCUUUUUUUUUUUUCCAAACCAAAGAGACUUCUCCCAAUUCUCCAAUAUGCUAUUUUUUAGGGGGGAAAAAAAGCCCAGUCUAGACAACGAAGAAUUUUUUUUUCUGUGAUAUUUCUUCUUUUUCUCUUUUUUCCUCUUCUUCCUCCUCCUCCUGAUCUUCCUCCUCCUCCUCCACCUCCUCCUCCUCCCCCCUCCCCUCCUCCUCCUCUUCGGUCCUCCUUUCCCCCUCUUUCUCUUCUCUUCCCCUCAGUUGGAAAAAAAAAGAAAGAAAAGAAAAAGAAGAAAAAGAAGAAAAAAAUUGUCAAGCCCCCGAACUGAAGGUUACGAGCGGCCCGUCAGCAGCCCACAUGUAACCGAACUGUCGUGUUUCAUGGCUUUUUGCCACUCCAGCUGUCAAUCAAAGCCCGGAAUGUCAAGGUAGUGAAUGAAUGAUGGUUGAUGAUGAUGAAGAGGAGGAAUCUUUCAGACCCGUUUUUUUCUUCCAGUAAAACUCCGCGAGGGGUUUCUGCUUCUUGAAUUUUUUCCUCCCCCCUCCCCCCUUUUUUAGCUUUGCCCCCGCGGUAUCUAUAAUACGAUCCUCUCUCUUUAAAGUAUUGUUCAAAGAAAGCAGUGAGAAAAAUCAAGAAAAAAAAAUGAAUAGUUUGCAAAAAUUGGACUUCCUCCCCCCCUUUCCUGGUAGGUAUUUUGUCUCUCCCUCUCUCUCUUUCUCGCUCGCUCGCUCGCUCUCACUCGCGCUCGCUCUCUCGCGCUCGCUCUCUCUCGCUCUCUUUCUCUCUCUGGGAGAUGAGUGAGUGUCAGUAGGUGUUGGCAGGUUGGCUGCUGCCUGGCUUAUUGAAGAGCCUCAGUUUGGCGGCGCGGGUCGGCGGCGGGAGAACGAAAUGACGGAACCCGGAAGUCGUGGUGGCCAUAGCCCGUCGUACGGCGGAGACACAUCCCGGGAGUGGGGAGCGGGAGCGAGGAGGAGCGCGCCGCGCCGAGCCUCUGAUAUGCAACGAGUGCGAUCGGACAGCCCCGGCUGGGGGGGUGGGGGAGGCGGGGGGGCGGGAGGGGGAGGGGAGGCUCGAGCCGGGCGGACCCGAGCAAAUCAGCAAGCCUGCUCCUCCACGGGGAUGGGGGACGGCGGGGGGGAGGAAAAGGAGAGUGUGUCUGUGUGUGUGAGUGUGUGUGUAUGUGUGUGCGUGCGCGCGUGUGUGUUGCGCGCGCGCGCGCGCGAACAGGGAGAGAGGGAGAGGGGGAGAGAGAAGAGGACAGGGAGAGCGCAGAGAGGAAAACUGCAGAAAACCACAGGGAAAGUACGGUACCGCCUCAGAUCUUUUCAUUUAAAAAAAAAAAAAAACUUACUUCUAGUUCAUUUUCCCAUCACUCCCGGCUCCUGCCUAACUGGGUCUUGCCGGGGACGUUUGGCAUGGCGCUCUAGCUUUUGUUCCUUUUAAUUCCGCGGCCUCCCUCUCCUCUGCCCGCCGAUUACAGCACCCCGAAGGCUUCCUGCUAACGUCCAAGGGCAGCAAGCUCUGCAGACGGUACCACUGCCGGGCUAAAUUUUUUAUUAAGUGGCACUUUCUUUUCUGCGCAGAUCCAGCAACCUUGUCAAUACUCAUUUUUUUCCAGGACCAGAAGAGACCAGCUUAACUCAGAGCACACUCCCUCCAAGCGGUGCGGACAAGGGGCCACCCCGAGAGUCUUUGGGGGCCGCGGCGGAAUCGGGAGGGAGGAAGUGAGGAGGCAGUCAUCUGGGUCCGAUGUAGCCAAAGGCGUGUGUGUGUGUGUGUGUGUGUGUGUGUGUGUGUGUGUGUGCGCGCGCGCGCCCGCGCGCCCGUGCGCGCGCGCGACUAGUGUGCGUCUCCAAAGUGGAUCUCACUCAGAGCUGGGAAGCACAGGAGGAAAAGACGGAGAGAGUGGGGGAGAAAGAAGUUGCCGGGCGAGGAGGAGUGGCCGGCGCUCACAGCCCAGCUUUGUUGUGGUCGCCCGAGGCGCAGCGGCGGGCCGCGGUAACGCCUGCUAAUGGCUGUGUUAAUUACACAGGGGCGAUUUCGCGGGGUCAGGGAGAUGGGGCCAGCUCCGAAAGAACUUUUCCAAAAAGGAAAAGGAAACGAAGGGAACUACCCCACACCGUUUGGGUGGAAACUAGUUGUGGCCGGUGCCCUGUCCUCCCUGGCCCGAGCUGCACCAGGCUUCACCUCUGCGCGGCUGGUUUCCCGGCGGCCGCGCGUCAAUCACUACGAGCCCGGAGUUGGGGGCGGAGCCACGGUCACCCCGCGCAAGCCUUGCCGCCCAGCAGCCCCCAUGCCCCUCGGCCCCUUGUGGCGCGGCCGGGCGGACAGGCGCUGGAAGCGCGUCCUCUCCCCAACUUCUCGCUCUCGCCCUCCCAGUCCCUGGCCCAGAGAGUGGAAAGCGGACUGUUGUUCUCCAACAGCCGCAUCCCUCCCCAACUUUGAACCCAUUCUGAGAAGUGGAGAGUAGUGUCUUCCGCGAGCCGCGUCUAACCGACUUUCCCGCGGAGGGAGGGUGGGAUGGGGGAGGUUGAUUAGAGAGAAUAAAGUACUCUGUGUGUGUGUUGUGUGUGAGAGAGAGAGAGAGAGAGCGAGAGAGAGCGGGGAGGAGGGCGGGUGGGAGGGCUCUUUUUUUUGGCCCCCGUUCCAUGUUCCCUGCUUCACUGUAAGCUUUCGAGCAACAGAAACUAGGCUAAGAUUGCAGCCUGCAGAGACUCCAAGCGGAGUCGGAGAAAUUUGGCCUCGUUUUAAUAGGGCUGAGGAAUGAACUCCGGAGGUCAAUAAAGCCCUCCAAAAAUGAUGAAUGAUUGAGCACCUGUGAUGAUGAUAGUGAUUACCAGAGCAAUUAAACAGUUUGAUUAAAUGAGCCAUCAUAACAAUGAUGUCUGCGGGAAAUCGGCCCUCACAUAUAAAGAAAGAUAGUGCGAAGGGGCUGGCAGAGGCGCGGAUAGCGCGACGCCAGGGAGAGGGGCUGCGGGCCGCGAGGUUUCUGCCCAAUGGCCCGAGCAGGGACGGCCAGACUCACGGAGCUUCAGGGAGGAGAGUGUAGCCCAGGUUUUCAGCCACUCUUUUUUGCCGGGCUUCAAGCCUGCUAGAGCCGACGGGUAGGAAAUCUGAAGGUUGGGGGGAGGGUACUUCCUCCACGUCCUCUUUUUUUUCCUAGAAGAACUCCAAGAUUAAAAGUAUCCUUAUUUGUUGCUGAGUUGCUCGUCGACAUUUAAGAGAAGGUGAGUAAAAAAGAAAAGAAGAUGAAAGAGAAAAGAAAAAGUUGGUCUCCAGAAUUUUAUUUCAAUCGACAGUUACGCGAAUUCAGUUUAGCCGGGACCGGGAGGUUUGAGAGUGCGGCGGGGUGGGGAGGGGAAAAAAACAAAAACGCUGCGGAGCGUUUUCGACUUUGCAAAGCUGUUGAUGUUGGUGGGUCCAAGUUCCCGGUGCAGCGCCGCUGGCUGAGAAAUUUGUACUCAGUUUUUACUCUUCUAAUUAUUCUUAAAUUCAAUUUAAGAAUUUAAGUUUAUCGUCGCCAAUAGGAUUAUUGUUGUUUUAAAUGUCUUGUUCAAUAAGUGCCAGUUACGUUUCUUUUUAAAAGAAAUUCCUCAGUGUCCUUGAUAAACCUUUUUUUGUAAAGAUCAACUUCAUGCGGAACCUCUGCCUUGCAGGGUUUAAACAUUCAACAUUGCUACCUUCUGUUUCUUUUUCUGUUUUUAUAGUGAUACUGUAAAGUGAGUUAGCAUCUCUAUAGCUUUCAUUUAGAAAAACUUAAGUCGCAUUUUUAGAAAAAUAUUCCUUCCCUUGCAGUGUGAGUAAAAACAACUCAGACAGAUUGAUGAUUUCUAUAUUUUCUUUUCUUUCUUUAUCUUCUUUUUCUUUUUUUCUUUUCUUUUCUUUUUUUUUCUUUUUUUUUGAGACGGAGUCUCGCUUUGUCGCCCAGGCUGGAGUGCAAUGGCGCGAUCUCGGCUCACUGCAACCUCCGCCUCCCGGGUUCAAGCGAUUCUCCUGCCUCAGCCUCUUGAGUAGCUGGGAUUACAGGGGCGCGCCACCACGCCCGGCUAAUUUUUUGUGUCUUUAAUAGAGACGGGGGUUUCACCAUAUUGGCCAGGCUGGUCUCGAACUCCUGACCUCCUGAUCCACCCGCCGCGGCCUCUCAAAGUGCUCGAAUUACAGGCGUGAGCCAUCGCACCCGGCCGAUUUCUAUGUUUUCAAACAAUUGUAAGCUAAUAAUGAGUUGAUUAUCUGGUGAUAAUCUUGGGUUUUACAAAAAAAGAAAAGUUUAAACUUUAUUUUCAUGUGUUUUUAUCAGAUGCAGAAGGCAUUUUUAACCUUAACGCCUUUCUCUGUCUCUCUCUUUCAUAUUCUUAACUUCUUUUGCAUUUUAUUGAAUACAUUAAAGCAAACAACAGGAACAAUAUGGUUAGGUGUAGGAGGGAGAGAGAAAUAUGACAUUUUAAGAUAUUGUCAAAAAGUCAUAUUUAACUUCAACGACUUUUAGUUAAAAAAGUGUGAGAGUGUUGAAAGUGCAUUCCUACUGGAGGAAAUCUAUGUCUUUUUAAAAUUUGCCAGUUGUCUCAGGGGAGAACCCAGAAUUUCUUUGAACGAAAGAGAUCUUACUGAUCUAGUUGCAUGUCACUUAUGAAACUGUUAGUUUAAAAUAGCAGUCCUAGUGUAGUGGAUUACACAUGAGGAGAUCAAGUUGGAGUCGAUUCAAGGUAUUGGUUCUUGGUCAGUCUGCUGAAUUCAAAACACUAUUACCUUUAAUCAGCAACUUGCGGGUGUUUUAUUAAUAGAGCUGAAAAAGGCUCAUCUAACAUAUAAGAAUUUCCUGGUUUCCCUCAUCCCCAAUUUUCCAGUCCAAUAGAAGCGAUUCCAAAGGAGUAGGGUACCCGCACUUACUGAUUUCCAUCCUGGUGGCAUUUUGCUAAUGCCCCAUUGUCAGCGUUGGCACUCCCACCCAGGCUUCCAGGCUCAUCUGCUCUCCCAUAUUUGGGGUGAAAGGAAAGUAGGUGGGGCAGGCCCGGGAGACAGGCACGAAAUGGGGGUCGCAGGAGGUGGCACACACCUCCGUCAACAGUCAGCUCCUUCUGCCCAGGCUGGAAAUGGUUUUAACAGGCGGUAAAAUUUCAUCUUGCGGUGUCAAAUUGGGGUCAUUUUGGGGUUAGAGUUCUCAGUGUCCGAGAGGAGCUGUCCAGCUGCGUGGGGACUCAUUAACUGCAAAAGAUCUGUUUCAGUAAAAACAAUUCAAAGACAAUCAGAAGGCUAAAGACCCUCUACAAAUCGCAUUUUACAAGUGCCCCAGAACAAAUAUGGAUGGUGAAACCUAUUUCUUCAGAAUCCCAAAUCAGCUACUUAGCUCUGGAGUGGGGGUGGGGGUACUGCAUAAAAAAGAGGUGAAAAGGAGGGGACCAAGCGGGUGGGGACCAGUGGAAGGGGGAAUCGGGCCUCUCAAAUUUAAGAGUCUGUUUUUAAUCACCUCUUUCUUAUUGAAGCAGCCCCAAGAGUUCUGAAAACUGCUACUUUUCUAUUUUUCAUUUUCUUUUUUUGAGCCAACAUGGAAUGCUAUUAUAGGUAACAUUUAAGAUUUAAAAGGAAUAAUUGAAUUCCACUAUAGUCCCUUAAUUUGAAGGGCAUUGGCUUUAUGGGGAGUGUUUAAUUUGAACCAAGAAUUUAUGAACCCAGACUCUAGGUGAAUUUGCCCACACUCCUUAAGGAGCUUGUGUAGCUGUUUCUUUUUCUUUUCCUUGAAAGUUAUAGCUUCUUAGCACAGAUAACUUCAAAUUCCUCAGAACUGAGAAGUCCAAAGUGUUAAUCUGUGUAUUAAAAUCGCCAGGUUUAAAUCCUUUUUGUCUUCUUACAACAGUUAGAACAAUUGACGCCUUGCUAGAGAAGCAAAUAAGUCCAACCUUAAUCUUAUCUGUAACUUUAUUUAAUGUUUUGAUUUGGAAUAUUUUGGAUUAAGCAUAUCUUUAAAAACUCUGUAAGGUUAAUUUUUAUUCCGGGAGGGAAGUUCUCUUUACUGAUUUUGAAAAAAGACAUGAAUUAUUACUUUGAUUUUCAAAAAUUCCUUCAGGUAAAAGGAAAAUUCAGGUUUAAAAUGAGAAGCUAGAUAUGUGAAAUGCCAGAGAUUUUAGGAUAAAACCAAGUCAAUACUUAAAAGUAAAGUAUCAUUUGAAAGAAAUUUUAUUUCUUGCAUUACUGAACUGAGCAAGUAACAGUGAUCAAAAAUAUGUUAUUCUCUCUCCAUCUCUCUCUCUCUCUGGACUCCACUUCUGUCACUAGGUCUUCUCUUUCCAUCCCCAGCACUUUUCUUUGGGUUCUGAAUGACACAGUGAUUUUUUUUUUUUGUAGUCUAGUUAUUUUCUCCAAGCGUCUCAGAGUAUUUCUAAAUUGUUAUUCAAGGAGUUUGAUUUCAGCCCUGCAGAAACAGCCCUGAGCCCAGCAUCGCUGGGACAAAGGCAGAAGGGGCUAUCUUCUGUUCAAGACCUGCUGGCUGACAGUUGGAAUUUUUGAUAUAUAUUUUAUUUGGCGUUUCCAAUAACGUGUUUGUCUUUCCCUCUCCACCCCUUGCAGCCAUCUAUUACUUUUAAAACAUCCCUUCUCCAUAAACAUCGGCUCAUCCUUGUGAACUAUUCUUGACCUUCCCAGCAGUGUAACCAGCAGCUCUGAAAGUUGGCCUAGAAAUAAUUCCACUGGCUUCCUUACCUGUUAACUUUACUCACUCUUCCUAGCUGGGAUCAACAGAAGGAAGGGGACUUUUUUGUUUGCUUUUGUUGUUGUUGGUGGUGGUGGUGGUGGUGGUGGUGGUUUUUGGUUCUUUGGUCCUUUUCCCACUUAAACUUUCUAUAAUGAUUUAUUCUCCGCCUCCUCCCAUUAAUAACGUUUAAGCACCCCACACUUUAUUUUUUAAAUAAAAUGGAGUAAAAUUAUUAUACUUUUUUCCUUUAUGCCCCCUUUUCUUUUAUUUCUCCCAAUUUUAGGGGCUUCACCAUCUCAUAGAAAGGACUUCAAUAAAUAGCCCUCUAGCGCUAUCUGGCGGGGCUCCAAACACGACGUGCGCUUGCUCUCACUGUUUCUUCCUCCUUCCCGCGCUCUCUUCUUUCCUCUCUUUCUUCCUCUCUCCUGCUUUUUCUCUCGUCUCUUCCGCUCGAUUGUUUUCCUCUUUUUUUCUGUCCUCCUGCGGCCUCUUGUCUAGUUCCUACCCCUACUUCAGCGCAGGCGGCUUGGAAAGCCCCGGCCAGAGGCUAGUAACUCUCGCAAGUGGGAGAUGCUCUGGCGACGGAUCUCUCUUUUCUGAUCCCUCCUCCCCCUUACCCAGCGCGGAUCACACACAUCCUUUGCCUUUGAUUAGCAUCUUAAAGUUGCUUAGCGUGCCGCUUAAGUCCCAGCGUCUCAGCUGGCGGUGGUUUGGAGAGGCUUAAAACUGCAUUCAUGAAGUUUGGAGGAAAGAAAUCAGACACUGGAAUUCAGGGCUAGGAGCCCAGCUCAGUUUUAGGUCAGAAGGCCGAGUCUCAGUGCGAGAUUGAGGAAGGGUCGGGGCUUAACGGGGGAGGUGGGGGUGGCGGGGGGGGGAACAGCACGGCGCGGCGCCUAGCCUGCGAGAUGGAGUCGGAGUGGGGGUGCGAGCGGUCCUCCACCGCCUCUGCCCGAUCCGUACCUCACAAUGGACUGCUCGAGUUUGUAUCUAGGCCUGUCCAGGAUUGUUUACUCCUUCAAUUAAUCAGCUUUAUCUCUUUUCCCCCUCCCCCCACCUCCACCAAAUCUGGAGAGGAGUGGGAAAGAACUGGAAAACUCACAGGGCAAAGAGAGAAAGCCAACAGUCAUAGUGCGGGAGGAGGCACGCCUGGGAUGCAAUACCCAACAGUCUCCUCCCUGCUUUCCUGCAAUUUGCAGGUCAUUGUCUUUCUUAUUUGUAGCUUUUUUUUUUUUUCUUCAGUAGCCGGUAAACAAUCGAACGCCGGGUAGGGAGGUCAGAGGGGAUGGGGCUGUGGGAGAGAUUCUACUCAGGCUAGGUGCUUUAGAUUUGGACCUGGCUGUGUCCCUACUUUAUUAAAAUUCUCAUGUGGCGCGCGCUGUCUUCUCUCUUCUCUCUCUCUCUCUCUCACACACACACGCACAUACACACACAGCCCGAGAGAAAUUUCCAAUCUUUGAGCAAAUCUCUUCCAUCUAGUCCUUGAAACAGAGGAAAGGACAUGGGACCUGAAGGAGAGUUAUGAUUGAAUUUUCUAAAAUUUAGUUUUGACAUUGCAAAGUAAAAGUGAGGACCGUAUUCCCAAUACAGACCCAGAGGGUGGUUAUUUCAGGUGAGGGGACCUCAGCCUGUGACGUCUAUGAUCAACCAGACAAAGACCCCUUCCUAAAUCUGAAGUCCCACCCCCACCCGUGGCAAACAUGGAAUACAAGGGAGGGGAAGGAUGGCACAAUAGUGGGUUCUGUUUUCCAAGAACUGCCCCCCACCUCCAUUGCAGAAGGAAAAAAAAGCACGGUUCGGGUGUAAUUAAUUGGGGACUGUUAUUAGGUCAUCAUUAGCCAAGGUACAAAUAAUAGCAGCACAUUUUUACUUAAAAUUGACCAGCCCCAGAGUGAUAGAUCGAUUUGGAGUAUAAAAAGAUGUAUCAAAACAUCAAUGUCGAUUAUUUGAAAUAUUGUAGUCGAAUUUUUUUUAUUGCUUCAUCGGUUAAGUGUCUGAAAAUGCAGUGUUCAAACAUAUAUUUAUGUUGUCAAUACUGUCAGAACUGUCAGUUUUACUAUACUGGAUUUGUACUAUAUUUCAAAUAUGCUAAUUUACAUAAAAUGCCCACCCUAGGAUUCCCCCCCUACACCCACCCCAUCUCUGGAAAAUCCGUGUCAGUUUCUUCAAAGGAUUCAGCAAUCUUUGCCUAAGCUAAAGUGUGCACUACCUCUUUUACUCAAUUUUCCACAUCGGAUUACAUGUCUUUUUCACCAUCUCUAACUUUCAAAGAGAUCCUUCUUCCUUUCUCCCCAAUUCUGCCUACUCUAACCUCUUCUUCAAAAUAGUACUGAGGCACUUGGAAAGCUUCGAAUUUAAAUAUCCACAUCCCAGCUCCAAAUAUACCAUUGGAGUAAAAAAACGGAAAAACUGGACUUGAGUGUACUUGGCCGCACUCGGGUAAACCAGGCUUCACCAGGUAGACGUUCUCAUACCGUAAGGGUCCAUCAUCAAAUUACCUGGCAGAUUGAAAUCUUCCAGGGAAAAUGAAUUUGGAAAUGUAAACACCUUUUCUUUCUUUUUACUUAAAAGCCUCGAUGGUAGAAAAAGAAAUAAUACUUAUAAAUGAUCGGCACGUUUUAACUUUAAAAGCUUUUGAACUCAAGUGAAAGACACACGUUGGAAACAGAAUUGAUAGUUUUAAUUCUACCCAUUUUCACCUGGCACAUCAGAUCAGUGGCAAUCAUUUAUUUUAUGGGGUGUGGAGGGGAAAGGGAUAGAAAGCGGAUAGAAAGCUAGAAUCCACUGAAGUCCCUGUCCUAAAAAUCUCAGAGAAAUUAAAGACUUAUUGAAACACAAACAUUCCAUCGCUCCAUACUCUCCGUCCAGAUGAAUUGAAACUUAUAAAUCCACGCUCUCCCCAAUUUUAUGUUUUUUAUUUAUUUUUUUUCAGGGUUUGAUAGGAAAGAUACCCAAGUCUGAUAGGGAAGACAGGGCCACUUCUGGACUAGCUGUGAGGAUGUGUUUUCAUUUCCAUAACACUGAAGCACUUUCUGUAAACCUUUUGAUGUACUUAAAUAAGUCUAUUUGGACAUUUAAAGAAGCUACACAUACAAACAUAGCUUGGCUUUUUGCCGUCAAUCCCAGCAUUAAAAAAACAUUCAUAAUCUAACUGAGAAGCUCUUUCAUACCCAUCCUUCUUUCAAAUAAGUAAAUAAAUAAAGAAAUAGAAGUGCAAACCAAAGAAAGUUUCCAGCGUGCAUCUGUACGUCUUCGUGUGCGAGUUUAUAAACAACUUCCAGUCGGUACUUGGGUGUUACCUCCCUCCUGCCACACACCCCAAGGCAGAGGCAUCGAGGGAUCGCCCCCAGAGAGCUGUGUUUACUUAGCUUGUUUUAAAAAAAAUCUCGCCGCCAUGUAUGACAAGUGUUACUGCAAGAAAUUCAUCAGCCUUCUACAGAUACUUCCAGUUUUGCUGUAAUGAUCUGCAGAAGAGAACUGCCAUCACUUUCUCACAUCCCAAGGUGUUGCAGGAACUCAGAGAGAGGGGAGAGUGGCUGAAACGCUUAAUUACCGGAGGCGAAGGAGGGGCGCGCGGGGGACCGAAGGAGAGGGGAGUGAAGAAGGAAGGUCCUUUACCAGGCUUGUACCUGGAGAAAGCUUUGAAUCGCUUCUCUGCUAUAUUUGGAAAAGGUAUGCUUGCUUUUUAAAAAAAUGCCUUUAGGGCAAAGUGAUACCCUUGUGUAAUAAUUAACUCAGACAAUAAAAAUAAUUGGAAAAUCAGUUGGAAUUUCUGAGUUUUUAAUUACGUUUAAUUUCGUACUAAGCCGUAAAAUUACGAAUGCCCCUCAAUUAAACACUCUCCUCUUGUAAAGCGUUUAACAACAAUUAUUCCUUAAUCAGUCUGAAUGUGAGUCACAAAUGGUGCUUUUCCACAUCAAAGAGACGUCCUUCCACGUUACCUUUUAGUCAUAAGUAAGAGGAUUAAUUCCUAUAAUUAGAGGGAUAAAUAUGUGCAUAAAUAUAUCUCUCACCCUCUCCUUAAAAAACAAAACAAAACACUUUCACUCUGUGUGAUACGUGGCCGGCUAUGGUAGGGUAAGUGUUUGUAAUCGUCUGCCUCUGCCCGGCAUCCCUUUGCUGACGGGUGACUGGAACGGAGGAGACGCCGCGCGAAGCGCAGGGCCCCAGAGGGACACAUGCACAGAGGCGCACACACGGGUCAGGCAGGAGGCGCAGAGUUCGGGGGCCCGGGACUCCACCAAUUCCAGUGCGAUCCUCCCCAGACAAUAACCCACCUCCCACCUUGGCCCUGCCCAGCGCAGCAAGACAGUUGUCUCCCUGUCGGUCUGCUUGUCCAGAAGAGCGGGGUCCCUGCCCUAAGCCCCAGCUCCAGCUUGACUCUUCAGGCUACAAAUAAAAAUUGAGCGUGACCUUUUAAAACUCCAGUGUGAAUAUCUCAUUUACCUAAUGACUUUAUGUCACCUAGGAAGAAGGUCAAUUUCCUCUUAACCUUUUCCCCGCUGCUGCAGUAAGCAUUCUUCCCUAAUCAAUGGUGGCUGGAAUAAUCAAUUCCCAUUUUAUGAUCGCUGACAAACUCAAUCUCAGGGCGGGGUGUGAGAGCUGGGGGUGAGCUGGCUCGGGCCGGGACAGAGGUCUCUCUGCGUACGCCCCGCUCCGCCCGGCGCCAAGGGAAGCCGCUGUCUCUUCCGUCGAGUUCUGAGACCUUGGCAAACUUCCCUCCCCCAACCGCCGGCGUGACUUCUGAGUUGUCACUAAUCCGAACCUGAUAUUCACCAGAGCUCCUUCGGUCACCGACAACGCUCCCCGCUGCUGCCGCGGCCUCCCGCCCGCCCUCCUCGGCGUGUUUUCAUUUCUAAGUCUACGGGCAGGGAUUGCCCCGACCCAGUGUGUGUGUGCGUGUGUGUGUGUGCGUGGUUUCAUUUACAUUUUAAAAAUCAUUUUUGCGUUCUUCAGCGUGGAUCUCAGCACUUUCCCUGUGUCUCAGGCCGACUAACUUUGCAUAAACAAAGCAACAACCGAAGCUCAUAGUGGGUGAAAUCUUGCGGGGAAAUGAAGGCAACCUGGUGGAGUUCGAUCUCUCUCUCUCUCUCUCUCUCUCUCUCUCUCUCUCUCUCCCUCUCUCUCUCUCCCUCCUCUCUCUCUCCCUUCCCCACAUUUCUUCCUCUUCUUUUACCUUCUUCCUCCACUCCCCCCUCCACCCCAAAUUCAGCUAUCCUAAACCAUAGGUUUAUCAGAUACCACUUCCUCCUCUUUUUAAAUUCUUCAGACCUGCCCCAGUCUGGGGAAAUUACUGGGCAAAUUACUAGAUCAGAGCUAUUUUGAAAGCUAAUUUGGGGUAAACUCACCGUUCCUUAUCUUUGCAGGGUUUAAAUAUGAGCCGCUCUCUGGUUCUAAUCCCUCAUAAAGUAGAAAUUGACUUUUACACAUGCAGGGCCUAUUUGAAGGGGGGAGGUCUCUUAACACUGGUUCACCACGGGUCACUGGAAACUUCUCCCCCUUAUUCCACCCUAAUCCCGUUUUCACUCACUACCAAGACACUGAAGCCGCUGAUGAUUAAAGCAAUCUCAAAAGUCUUGCUUAGCUAGGGUUCAAUGGCAGGGAAAUCAUUUUCCUCAAAAAAAGACGUUCUGUAGCCAGGUUUUUGAAGAUUUCCUAUGAAGAGUCAAUCUCUCAAUACUGUAUUACCCAGUUAGUUAAAAGGGAACCCCAAACUGAACUUUCUCUCCCAGAGCGCACUCUCAGGCCUGCCUUGCCUAUGGGGAUAAUCUUUAAAAAGGUAAUCAAACCAUUCCUUUUCUUCAUUCACAGAUCCUCUUUACUUGUAGGCAGACAUUCUGCUAAAAUCGGAAAGUUUUCCAAAUAAUCAAAAACAAACAUAUAACUCUUCCACUUUUUAUCCUUCACUCUGGUGUAAAAAGCAAACAAACAAAAAGGGCCUUUGAGUUCGAGGGGAGGGAUAUCUGGGCCACUGUUCACCCAUGAAAGCUUCCUACAUCCUGUUAGUAAUGAAGAUGGCAAAUCAUGGCACUUGCCUGAAACUUUCAGGUUCCAUUCUUGCAUUGAGCCUCAAGGUGCUAGAGUGUGAGGGGCAGUGAGAACAUGCCAGGUUCAGGACCUGACCUGGGACAGAAGCACUGAGUUCUCAGUAUUGUCAUUUUCCUCUUGCUUCAUACCAGGAAGUAGUUUUGCAACUCACACUGAGUUAGAUUCGAGAUUUAAACGGUUGUCGAAGGUUGGUCCAGCCCUGAGUCACAAUUUAUAACACCCUGGCUUUUAGAAGAUUUGCCUCAUAUUCCCAACAACUGAGUUACAGACCAUCUUAGACUACAACCUGUUUGUAGGCCAAAAAGUGCUUGUACAUACAGGAAGAGUUUCCCAUUACUAAGAGUACUGAAUGGGUUUUUUAAAUCUCUAUUUGACAGAGGAGCAGACAGAUUGGGGAUAGGGCCCUUGACCUCAGAUAAUUACUUCAGUCGUCCCUCUUCAGCAAAUUUAAUUCUCACGCAAAGAGUAAUUAACAACCUCUGACUAUUCUAUGAGAAUUUCCUUUCCUUUUCUUAUCUUAAGGACCCUCAUAGGAAUAUUGAAGAAUAUGUUUAAUGGUAGUUUUUAGUUUCACUGCAUUUAAACAUUUUGCCUUCUGCUCACUUCUUCCAUAGUCUACUGGAACACAUUUAACAGAGUCUUGGGCUGUGUUCUGACUCCAGCACAUGAAAUUGGAAAAUCCAGUCAUCAAUUUACUGCCCUUCCUACUCUCCACCUUGACCCCAAGCAAAGCUAUUCACUAGACAACUCUUCGUCAAUGGAAAAUUCCUUAAGUUUGCUUAAUGAGGAGAGAAUGUCAGAAGAAAGAAAAAAUUUUAAUAGUAAAAAAUGCCAUUCUCUCCUUUUGACUGCCUGACAACUUUGUCUCUACAAGUGUCUCAUUCAGGGUUACAAAUCAAAAUUACAUGUCAGGAUACAAGCCACAGUAUUGGAACAGGAAGAAUGAGCACACAGACCACUAGCUUUUCAAAGGCGACUGAGGUCUCUGCAAGGCUCAUGUCCUAAAUGGAGAGACAUCUUAUUCAAACAUCUCUAAGGGAGAGGGUUGAAUCAGAUCACUUCUGAGGCUGUUUUUAACCCUAGAAAGACAAAAAGGGACUCCAAGGGCUAAAAAGCCAUCAAGAGCUCAGGCUCUGGAGUCUGACGGGAAGGGGCUGAAUACUAGGUCUGGCCUGUGCUGAUUGUGAACUCUUAGUAGUCACCUGACUCCUCUAAACUCUACUAACCUCAUGCAUAAACUCAGCAUAACAAUGGUUGAUAUUACUGGACACAUUUGUCAGCCCCUGCAGGUCCACCCUUUACUUUCCCCCUCCUGGUUUGUGCCCCUGAAGGCUGGUACGGAUGGUUUUAGAAUGGCCCUUGUUUCCUCUUGGGCUUGCCUAGAGUGGGCAGAGCGAGGUCUGGGUGCUGAUUCCCAGGGUCCCUGAGGGCUGGCUGCAUUCCAGCCACAGCUCAAGCAGUCUUCUUCCCAGAGUUCCAUUUCUGGAUUUAGGUAACAAUGUCCUUCUCCAGUACUAGCCUUGGGGCAGUGUACUGUCCCUCGUGGUUUCCUAACACCCUGCUCACACCUUUUUAAUAAAGUUCCUUUAUUAAGCUCUCCUCAAAUUACCCAAUUUGAUGUGUACCAUCUGUUUCCUGCUGGACCUUGACUGAUACACCUUAUAAACGUGUUUAGAGGAUUAAAAUUAAAUGAGAUAAUGCAUGUAAAGCACAUAGUGCAGUUCUUUGCAUAUAGUAAAAGCUUAAUAAAUAGAGCUUUUAUUUAUUUUUACAAUUAUCAUUUUGUGCAACCCUUUCAUUUUAUAUAGGAGGAAAUGGAAACUCAGAACUGUUAGGAGAAGCAUUCAAAGUCUAAUUAACUGAAGGUAGUAACAAUCCUGGGACCAAAUCCCUGAACUGCCUGCUUGAAGUUCAUUGUUCUUCCCUCUGCAUCUUGUUGAGCAAAACAGAUGAGAAAGGAGGGAACUCUUAUUUUCAUAGAUGUUGGAAAAAGGGUUAGACGAGCUAGAGGCAGAGGUGUAGGAGGUAAUAAGCAUUUUCCAUGUAUCAUUGGGCUUGUCCCUGCUAAAUUACUGCUGAAAUAAAGGAAUGCCAUUGCAAUUUAGAAUCCAGUGAUUUCAAUAACAAUAAAAUGGGUAUGUAACAGGGGGC